rnacentral:rRNA from 1 species
GACGAACGCUGGCGGCGUGCUUAACACAUGCAAGUCGAACGGAAAGGCCCUGCUUUUGUGGGGUGCUCGAGUGGCGAACGGGUGAGUAACACGUGAGUAACCUGCCCUUGACUUUGGGAUAACUUCAGGAAACUGGGGCUAAUACCGGAUAGGAGCUCCUGCUGCAUGGUGGGGGUUGGAAAGUUUCGGCGGUUGGGGAUGGACUCGCGGCGUAUCAGCUUGUUGGUGGGGUAGUGGCUUACCAAGGCAUUGACGGGUAGCCGGCCUGAGAGGGUGACCGGCCACAUUGGGACUGAGAUACGGCCCAGACUCCUACGGGAGGCAGCAGUGGGGAAUAUUGCACAAUGGGCGGAAGCCUGAUGCAGCAACGCCGCGUGCGGGAUGACGGCCUUCGGGUUGUAAACCGCUUUCGCCUGUGACGAAGCGUGAGUGACGGUAAUGGGUAAAGAAGCACCGGCUAACUACGUG